rnacentral:rRNA from 1 species
UACGGGGGGGGCAAGCGUUGUUCGGAAUCACUGGGCUUAAAGGGCGCGUAGGCGGGCCAGCCAGUCUGUGGUGAAAGCCUCCAGCUUAACUGGAGAAGUGCCGUGGAUACUGCUGGCCUCGAGGAGGGUAGGGGCACCUGGAACGGUCGGUGGAGCGGUGAAAUGCGUUGAUAUCGACCGGAACUCCGGUGGCGAAAGCGGCGUGCUGGACCUUUUCUGACGCUGAGGCGCGAAAGCUAGGGGAGCAAACGGG